AAUGGGGCUGCUCCGACCAGCCUCACCGGAUCCUCCGGUUCCCACGCCCAGGGAUCUGUCGCUCCCCUAAUAAUGACGCCCGCUCUCACUCCUUCGCAUCUCCCUCUACCCCAAUCUCUCACUCUCCCUGUCUUCAUUUCUUUCUCGUUCUGCUAAGCGCAUGUGACCCAUCGAAGAAACCCAUUCUCCUUACCAGUGUUCCGCGAUUGCGAGGUCUUUUCUCAUCUGUGACAUGGUUGUUCGUUGUUGGAAAGCAGUGAUUCUGGGCUUCACAUCCUCGUGCUCAUGUAUCGUACGUUGCUCAAAGGAAUCCGACCUCCGAAAGUGUGGUGGGCGACACUGGGAAAAUUCUUCACCGCAACAUGAUUAUAUUGCUUCGUGAUUAUGAUAUCAUUUGCCAACAUUCUCAUUCUCCGCGCACUGCAUAGCUUCAUAUCGCUGGGACACAGAAUUGCCAUAUCCCAGCACACAAUUUUAUGCACGACACUCACCUCAAAAACAAUUUCCAGUUGAUAUCUGAUUACAACGCUGCCAAUCCGAGAAAAGGACGUAAAGAAAGAAAGAAAAAGAAAAGGAUACGUAGGAACUAUCCGAUUAGUCUACAGAGUAUGCCAGUAUCAUAAAAACGAUGUAGUUUUUCAUGUAUACCGAUAAAAUGUACUGUAGAGAAUCGAUCUACCAUUGGGAUUUAAACAAUGUUUAACGACGCAUCCCGGUAUUGAUACAAGCUCGAAAAGCAGGAAAAAGAGGAACUCUCUACUCCUAUCUCAA